rnacentral:rRNA from 1 species
UACGUAGGUGACCAGCGUUGUCCGGAUUUACUGGGCGUAAAGAGCGCGCAGGCGGUCGUUCAAGUCGAGUGUGAAAGCCCCCGGCUCAACUGGGGAGGGUCAUUCGAUACUGAUCGACUUGAAGGCAGGAGAGGGAAGUGGAAUUCCCGGUGUAGUGGUGAAAUGCGUAGAUAUCGGGAGGAACACCAGUGGCGAAGGCGACUUCCUGGCCUGUUCUUGACGCUGAGGCGCGAAAGCUGGGGGAGCGAACGGG